AACGAACGCUGGCGGCAUGCCUAACACAUGCAAGUCGAACGGCAGCGCGAGAAAGCUUGCUUUCUUGGCGGCGAGUGGCGAACGGGUGAGUAAUAUAUCGGAACAUACCUUGUAGUGGGGGAUAACUAUCCGAAAGGAUAGCUAAUACCGCAUACGCUCUAAGGAGGAAAGUGGGGGAUAGCAUGACCUCAUGCUAUAAGAGUGGCCGAUAUCUGAUUAGCUAGUUGGUGAGGUAAAGGCUCACCAAGGCGACGAUCAGUAGCUGGUCUGAGAGGACGACCAGCCACACUGGAACUGAGACACGGUCCAGACUCCUACGGGAGGCAGCAGUGGGGAAUUUUGGACAAUGGGGGCAACCCUGAUCCAGCAAUGCCGCGUGAGUGAAGAAGGCCUUCGGGUUGUAAAGCUCUUUUGUCAGGGAAGAAACGGUUGUGGCUAAUAUCCAUGGCUAAUGACGGUACCUGAAGAAUAAGCACCGGCUAACUACGUGCCAGCAGCCGCCGUAAUAC
rnacentral:rRNA from 1 species